ACCUACCUGUGAGACGGGGAUAACUCCGGGAAACCGGGGCUAAUACCGGAUAACGCAUCGAACCGCAUGGUUCGAUGAUCAAAGAUGGCUUCUAGCUAUCACUCACAGAUGGGCCCGCGGCGCAUUAGUUAGUUGGUGAGGUAACGGCUCACCAAGGCGACGAUGCGUAGCCGACCUGAGAGGGUGAUCGGCCACACUGGGACUGAGACACGGCCCAGACUCCUACGGGAGGCAGCAGUAGGGAAUCAUCCGCAAUGGACGCAAGUCUGACGGUGCAACGCCGCGUGAGCGAUGAAGGUCUUCGGAUCGUAAAGCUCUGUUGUGAGGGAAGAACAAGUGCCGUUCGAAUAGGGCGGCACCUUGACGGUACCUCACCAGAAAGCCCCGGCUAACUACGUGCCAGCAGCCGCGGUAAUACGUAGGGGGCAAGCGUUGUCCGGAAUUAUUGGGCGUAAAGCGCGCGCAGGCGGUUCCUUAAGUCUGAUGUGAAAGGCCACAGCUCAACUGUGGAGGGCCAUUGGAAACUGGGGAACUUGAGGACAGAAGAGGAGAGCGGAAUUCCACGUGUAGCGGUGAAAUGCGUAGAUAUGUGGAGGAACACCAGUGGCGAAGGCGGCUCUCUGGUCUGUAACUGACGCUGAGGCGCGAAAGCAUGGGUAGCGAACAGGAUUAGAUACCCUGGUAGUCCAUGCCGUAAACGUUGAGUGCUAGGUGUUAGGGGGUCCAACCCUUAGUGCUGCAGUUAACGCAAUAAGCACUCCGCCUGGGGAGUACGGCCGCAAGGCUGAAACUCAAAGGAAUUGACGGGGGCCUGCACAAGCGGUGGAGCAUGUGGUUUAAUUCGACGCAACGCGAAGAACCUUACCAGGUCUUGACAUCUUCGGACAGCCCAAGAGAUUGGGUCUUCCCUUCGGGGACCGAAUGACAGGUGGUGCAUGGUUGUCGUCAGCUCGUGUCGUGAGAUGUUGGGUUAAGUCCCGUAACGAGCGCAACCCCUGAUCUUAGUUGCCAGCAUUCAGUUGGGCACUCUAGGAUGACUGCCGGUGACAAACCGGAGGAAGGCGGGGAUGACGUCAAAUCAUCAUGCCCCUUAUGACCUGGGCUACACACGUGCUACAAUGGAUGGUACAAAGGGAAGCCAAACCGCGAGGUCGAGCUAAUCCAAUAAAGCCAUUAUCAGUUCGGAUUGUAGGCUGCAACUCGCCUGCAUGAAGCCGGAAUCGCUAGUAAUCGCGGAUCAGAAUGCCGCGGUGAAUACGUUCCCAGGCCUUGUACACACCGCCCGUCACACC
rnacentral:rRNA from 1 species